rnacentral:tRNA from 1 species
UGCGGGGUGGAGCAGUCUGGUAGCUCGUCGGGCUCAUAACCCGAAGGUCAUCGGUUCAAAUCCGAUUCCCGCUACCA